UGGGCAGAGGCCGUCGAGGUGGACAACACCGCCCUCUCUGAGGGCCCACCAACCCCCAAUGAUGACAAAGUUCCAGCAGCUGCCACAGGCUGGACCGAGGUGGACCCGGGGUUGGGCUCUACUCCCUACGACCCUCCCGCAAUAUGCUACCUGUAUCGUGGCCCAGGAGACCUGGCCCACUGGACAUUGUACCAGUGGGCAGCCAGCAUAGGUGUCAUCCCUCGCGCAAACACCAGUGACAAGACACCGUUUUGCUGUUCAUAUACAUGUGUUGUCCUUGAUACCUUGAGCAGCGAACUUAGGCAAGAAGGUGUGUGUCUAGAGAAUGGAGUUGUAUCUGCACACCUGGUGAGCACCCA